AGCGUACACGGUGGAUGCCCUGGCAGUCAGAGGCGAUGAAGGACGUGCUAAUCUGCGAUAAGCGUCGGUAAGGUGAUAUGAACCGUUAUAACCGGCGAUUUCCGAAUGGGGAAACCCAGUGUGAUUCGUCACACUAUCAUUAACUGAAUCCAUAGGUUAAUGAGGCGAACCGGGGGAACUGAAACAUCUAAGUACCCCGAGGAAAAGAAAUCAACCGAGAUUCCCCCAGUAGCGGCGAGCGAACGGGGAGCAGCCCAGAGCCUGAAUCAGUGUGUGUGUUAGUGGAAGCGUCUGGAAAGGCGCGCGAUACAGGGUGACAGCCCCGUACACAAAAAUGCACAUGCUGUGAGCUCGAUGAGUAGGGCGGGACACGUGGUAUCCUGUCUGAAUAUGGGGGGACCAUCCUCCAAGGCUAAAUACUCCUGACUGACCGAUAGUGAACCAGUACCGUGAGGGAAAGGCGAAAAGAACCCCGGCGAGGGGAGUGAAAAAGAACCUGAAACCGUGUACGUACAAGCAGUGGGAGCACGCUUAGGCGUGUGACUGCGUACCUUUUGUAUAAUGGGUCAGCGACUUAUAUUCUGUAGCAAGGUUAACCGAAUAGGGGAGCCGAAGGGAAACCGAGUCUUAACUGGGCGUUAAGUUGCAGGGUAUAGACCCGAAACCCGGUGAUCUAGCCAUGGGCAGGUUGAAGGUUGGGUAACACUAACUGGAGGACCGAACCGACUAAUGUUGAAAAAUUAGCGGAUGACUUGUGGCUGGGGGUGAAAGGCCAAUCAAACCGGGAGAUAGCUGGUUCUCCCCGAAAGCUAUUUAGGUAGCGCCUCGUGAAUUCAUCUCCGGGGGUAGAGCACUGUUUCGGCAAGGGGGUCAUCCCGACUUACCAACCCGAUGCAAACUGCGAAUACCGGAGAAUGUUAUCACGGGAGACACACGGCGGGUGCUAACGUCCGUCGUGAAGAGGGAAACAACCCAGACCGCCAGCUAAGGUCCCAAAGUCAUGGUUAAGUGGGAAACGAUGUGGGAAGGCCCAGACAGCCAGGAUGUUGGCUUAGAAGCAGCCAUCAUUUAAAGAAAGCGUAAUAGCUCACUGGUCGAGUCGGCCUGCGCGGAAGAUGUAACGGGGCUAAACCAUGCACCGAAGCUGCGGCAGCGACGCUUAUGCGUUGUUGGGUAGGGGAGCGUUCUGUAAGCCUGUGAAGGUGUGCUGUGAGGCAUGCUGGAGGUAUCAGAAGUGCGAAUGCUGACAUAAGUAACGAUAAAGCGGGUGAAAAGCCCGCUCGCCGGAAGACCAAGGGUUCCUGUCCAACGUUAAUCGGGGCAGGGUGAGUCGACCCCUAAGGCGAGGCCGAAAGGCGUAGUCGAUGGGAAACAGGUUAAUAUUCCUGUACUUGGUGUUACUGCGAAGGGGGGACGGAGAAGGCUAUGUUGGCCGGGCGACGGUUGUCCCGGUUUAAGCGUGUAGGCUGGUUUUCCAGGCAAAUCCGGAAAAUCAAGGCUGAGGCGUGAUGACGAGGCACUACGGUGCUGAAGCAACAAAUGCCCUGCUUCCAGGAAAAGCCUCUAAGCAUCAGGUAACAUCAAAUCGUACCCCAAACCGACACAGGUGGUCAGGUAGAGAAUACCAAGGCGCUUGAGAGAACUCGGGUGAAGGAACUAGGCAAAAUGGUGCCGUAACUUCGGGAGAAGGCACGCUGAUAUGUAGGUGAAGUCCCUCGCGGAUGGAGCUGAAAUCAGUCGAAGAUACCAGCUGGCUGCAACUGUUUAUUAAAAACACAGCACUGUGCAAACACGAAAGUGGACGUAUACGGUGUGACGCCUGCCCGGUGCCGGAAGGUUAAUUGAUGGGGUCAGCGCAAGCGAAGCUCUUGAUCGAAGCCCCGGUAAACGGCGGCCGUAACUAUAACGGUCCUAAGGUAGCGAAAUUCCUUGUCGGGUAAGUUCCGACCUGCACGAAUGGCGUAAUGAUGGCCAGGCUGUCUCCACCCGAGACUCAGUGAAAUUGAACUCGCUGUGAAGAUGCAGUGUACCCGCGGCAAGACGGAAAGACCCCGUGAACCUUUACUAUAGCUUGACACUGAACAUUGAGCCUUGAUGUGUAGGAUAGGUGGGAGGCUUAGAAGUGUGGACGCCAGUCUGCAUGGAGCCGACCUUGAAAUACCACCCUUUAAUGUUUGAUGUUCUAACGUUGACCCGUAAUCCGGGUUGCGGACAGUGUCUGGUGGGUAGUUUGACUGGGGCGGUCUCCUCCUAAAGAGUAACGGAGGAGCACGAAGGUUGGCUAAUCCUGGUCGGACAUCAGGAGGUUAGUGCAAUGGCAUAAGCCAGCUUGACUGCGAGCGUGACGGCGCGAGCAGGUGCGAAAGCAGGUCAUAGUGAUCCGGUGGUUCUGAAUGGAAGGGCCAUCGCUCAACGGAUAAAAGGUACUCCGGGGAUAACAGGCUGAUACCGCCCAAGAGUUCAUAUCGACGGCGGUGUUUGGCACCUCGAUGUCGGCUCAUCACAUCCUGGGGCUGAAGUAGGUCCCAAGGGUAUGGCUGUUCGCCAUUUAAAGUGGUACGCGAGCUGGGUUUAGAACGUCGUGAGACAGUUCGGUCCCUAUCUGCCGUGGGCGCUGGAGAACUGAGGGGGGCUGCUCCUAGUACGAGAGGACCGGAGUGGACGCAUCACUGGUGUUCGGGUUGUCAUGCCAAUGGCACUGCCCGGUAGCUAAAUGCGGAAGAGAUAAGUGCUGAAAGCAUCUAAGCACGAAACUUGCCCCGAGAUGAGUUCUCCCUGACUCCUUGA
rnacentral:rRNA from 3 species